GGUCACCACUGGGGUAAAACUAAUUGGGUUUUGCACAUUUUCACCAUUUCUUUACUUAAAAGUUGGUGGAUCUCUUUAGUCUGUCUUAACCCCUGGCAGGGAACAAGUGGAGCUAAUGGGGAGCAAAGGCAGAGGAAUAUAUGUCCAAUAGCCACAUAUUCUCCAGUCAAGGCAAUCAUGGGAAACACAGAACGUCACUCUUUCAAUUUCAUCCCUUCCACUGUCGAAGCCGCCCUCUAUAACGUCAUUAUCUCCAGCAGAUCUGCAGGGUCCUCUGACAGGGCCAUGUUAUCCAGACACCGGGGAAAUGCAAAUUGAUUUCAUAUCAGCCGUGGCAUUUUUAAGGCCUCCCCAUGUUACAUAGACUGUCAUUUCAGGCAGAGAUAUGAAAAUCUGAGGGAAAUGUCAAACUGUGGAGGGACUAUAUUAUGCGCAGUGUGUUGUUUACUCUGAUCACCAGCUCAUGGAACAAGAUACUUCUUAAUGCCACGCCGUCAGUUGUCUGUUUAAGAGGUUUCUAUUACACUUUUGAUCCUUAUGAGUCUGGUGUAGUUUUUUGAAUGUCAGAAUAGCAGCAGACUAACAGGAAUAUGCAUGAUUAGCAUAAUGUAACAGAGCCAACAAAAGGCCGUCGUUGAGAGGUGAUUAAUUUGAAUGACACCUCUAAAGCGAAUCUCAAAUGGAUGUUAAAGCUGCCGUGAUAAAUAUUUUUAUCUUAAUAAAGAAUCACGGCUACUUGAAUGUGAGAGUGGUUCAUCACCUGACCGCGGUCCCCAUCAGCUCUGCACAGCGUGUAGCAUCACACAUUGCAUUCUGUUGUUGUUAGUGUGCAAUCACUGCUUUCAAAGUGUCAAAAAUUAUACUAUGGCUGCGAGCUAAAUAUCUCUACUAACUAACUAACUGUGUGCUAUAUAUGGCCAUGCACCAACAGCAACGUUAGCUGCUAGCUGGUGAAUAAAGUAGAGCAUUUUGUAGACAGACGUCCUACUCUGGAGUUGGUGGAGACUAAAAUUGAGCUAAAAGGAGCGGUAAUGAUUGAAUGAACUUCUAUAAACAGAUUCUGUGUGUGAAUACGCACGACUUGAAGGCACGGGACAAGAUUUUGGAGCCACAAGAUCUGGUUUCUGUUUCUAAUUAGACCAAUAACGUUUGAGCAGGCUUUGGUCCCCCGCAGGAAAAAAGUCCAUGUAGAGAGUGAAAGGGGCGGAGCACAGUGACAGAAACGCAUCAUCAGGAGUUUUUCAUUCUUCUGCAUGCAUGCGUGAUAGAAGAAACUAUUCCUAUUGUAAAUCUAGAGUGACCUUAUUGGAGGUCUUGGCCUGGAUAUCCACUAUCUACACCUGAAGCCCCAAAAUAUUGUCCAUCGCCCCCAGAGGCCAAUUCAUCGACUUUAGCUUCACAGCUUCAAAUGAAUGCUGCUGUUGGUCUACAUCUGUAGGAUGUGAAAAACAGGGCAAAUGUGUGCAAACAAGUCGGCCACUUAACUUCAAAAGUUAUAACGUCAGCAUUAAGACAUUGUUCAAACAAAUGAGGCUUUUAAGCUAGUGCUCCACCAGCUAUUUAAGGUACACGAGUGCUGUCAGGUGAAAAUACAUACACUGAGUGGGAGAGGAUGAGGAGGAGGAGAAAGAGAAAGAGUAGAAAGCAGAUGGCUAAAGAUGAAGGUCAAAACCAAUUGAGAAGUUUGUCAAAAUUUGAUGACAUAAGCAAUCUGUAAGCUGUUAUUGCAGCCGAGCUUGAGGUGCAGAGAAACAUAUUGAAAUUACAAAAAAAACCACUGCAGCUGCCAGCGCACUGCCAGGAAUGAUUGCCCCGAGUGUUUUUUUUCUUCUUCAUGCAUUGCCUCUCUCUUUUUGUCGCUUAACACCCCCCCCCCCCCCCCCCACACACACACACGCAUGGCUGCCUGCCAGAUGUGCGGCAUAUCUGGAUUUAAUGAUAUCACAAAUGCCUUUCUUCAUGCUCAAUAAUAACUCAAUUCUGAUUGAUACACAACUGUCAGCGGCUUAUCUUGAUACAAAUAGAGUUGUCUGUCAUUCGGUAUUGAGUCAUCAAUUUUAGCCGGUGAUGAGGCUUGUUUGCCGCACCUAAUCAUCUGUCUCGUUGGGAAGCCUGGGAGGCUGAUCAGAUAGCACUUGUAACCAUCACAACACAAGCUUUCAGGGAAAAUUGAGUGGGGCCCAUUAUGCCUGUGCUCCGAGCAAUGUCAGAGAUUUCUUUGUACAUAAAGCAAAGCCCAGAAUAAAUCACACAGUACACCCACAUUUCUAUUGAUUAAAGCCUUUCCCAUGCCUGCAUCUGCCGAAUUGUCCACAGAAUAAAGAGCAGCUUUAUAUUUUGUCCUGUCAAAAUGUUAGGUCAUUCUAUCAAGGCCAGCCAGUUCCAUACAAUGGCACAGUGAGGCUUCUGUUGAAAAACACCAAGAGGCAGAGAAUGAAUUCUGGUAUUUCCGUGCAACAGGAACCUGCUAGGACUGAUUUUUUUUUAUUUUGUCCGUUAGAUAUUAUAGCUCCGCACUGUGAGUAAAUACCAAUUUUAUUUCCCAUACUUUAACCCAAAUAGUUUCCCUACAAAAAGUCAACAAGCAUAACCUUCUAAAACUGUUAUGAAUAUGGCGUCCGGGGCAACACUCUACCUCCUCCUGUAGACCUCCUUAUUUAGCAUUCAUAGUCUGUAUAUAAACAUUUAAUAAAUGGUUAUUAAUACUCUGUAUUGAAGUUUUAAGUGGAUGCUAGGGUUAUAAUAUGCUAACAUAAAAUAUGUCAAGCAAAUUAUUCUUCUGAUACAAUAAUGUGAAUAUUAUAUAUGAACAAACAUGUAUACCAUAUACAUGAUAUUGUUUGCUGUCAUAAUAGUAACUUUAAAAUGAUUUUCCAUCUGGCUAUAACUACUUAUUCAUUACAGAUCCCAAACUGUGAGUUAACACUUUAUAAUUAAUGUAAAACGUGCAAAUAUUGUGACCUUAUUGUAUUGUAAUCAGACUGAUGACAAGUGCUGCCGGACGCUGCCUUGGCAUUUUACUGCAUCCUAUACAAUUAUCCUGAUGAGAACUUGAAAGACCUCUGUUAAUGUGGGAGUGUGAGAAGGCCUGUAGCCUAAAGACCCCUGCUUUCAUUCAUCUCACUAACAUCAGGGAGCUCAAGCUCGGCGUCACUCAAAGCUUUCCUCCUUUGAAAUUCCCCAGGCAGACCCACAAAUUAAGCUCACUUCUGUUUGACCAAAGAUGAGACCAGCCCUGAAGUAAGACAGCUUUCCCUCCCUUUUAUCACAAGAGUUUGCAAUCUAUCCCUUAGAACUCCACAGACCUAUAAAUCUCUGGAAAAUCUCUCUAUUCAUUGUCAGGCCGCGAUAAAGAACCAUACAGAAAAUUCUCUCCGUCUAAAUUUCAGUCACGAUCCUGCAGCAAAGGACAAACACAGUUUGCUUGUGAACGCCGAGAGUGCAUUUGCAAGAAUGUGCCUGAAUUCUUCAACUUUUUCAGACUAUUAAGUGUAAUUCUAAAGACGACUCCAUCCUGAAUGCUGCAAAAAAACAAAGAAAGAGUUGUGCAUUUGUUUAACAGCAAACACUGCUUGCCUCUAGGAUGUAGACACAUAGGCCUUCUUUCUUGUGUAUUGAAUUGAAAAGGUGGCAUCUCAAUCCAUAAAUGUAAAUAACCAGCUCCCUCAUUUGUUAUGAUAAGAAAUUGCUUGGCUGUAGCAUGAUUUAUAAGGAGAAAAAAAACAUUUACUAUAUAAAAUGGUGGGUAGAAAUUAUUGAUUGAGGAUUUGUGCAACUUGCAAAUAAAUAUCCAUCAUACAUUUUUUGCAUUUUGUAGAAGGACUUUGGAAUGAAAACAACUAGCAUGGACCUCUUCUUGGCGCGUUUACACCAGUAUUGCUUGUGUGUGUUUCAAAAGAACCACUAUUCUCCCACAGCAGGGAGUGUGCGCCCAAAUCUUCAAACUCCCCAACUUGGAGGACGUCUCGUGACAAGCAAUCACUCUUAAUAGGAUUCUUCUCCUCCAGAAAGACUCACAAGGAAAGAUUAUCUGACUCUAUUCUGAGCACAUUCAAAGGCAAGGGACCAUGCACUCCCCCUGCGAGUUCAUUAUCAUGCUCAGGUUAUCCCGGGCCCAGUGAAUCUGGAACGCAAAUGAAUUAGUGAGAAUUAAGAAGUCUCUGUGGUCUGAAACCUCUCCAAAUCUCCUGCAAGAUGAAAGGUACGUAGCCAUGGCUUAUUCGCAGUCGCUCCCCUCCUGAGCCCAGGAGGCAUCUCCCGACCCAUCCCGGGACACUCCCAUCCCCCCGACACACACACACACACACACAAACACACACACACACACACACACACACACACACACAUACACACACACUUACAAACACAACACUGCUGCCUUUCGGAAAAUGGAAACAGUGCGGGCAGUUAAUGUUGCCCAACAUCUUCUGACUCGCAGUUUUUUUUUUUUUGUUGUGAGGGAGAAAUUGAGCUGGGCUGCAGGACGGAGGCGGCCAUCACUGGCGAUUAAUUACAGCACUGUGGUGCUGGCACUUCGGUUACGGCUGAUCCCUCAGCAGGCAGGGCUGCUUCUCAUCUCAGCCUCUCUGUAGCCUUCAAAGGGCUCUCCUCUGCCUGCAAGACUGAACCCAGGCCAGUAUUCCCCCCCUCCUUGCCUGCCCGUCAGCCUGGUCCUUUGUAACAGACUGCAGAGUCUGCCCCUCUCCCUCAGCUCAUUCAGCAUCACACCCUGCCCUUGUGCUGGACAUCAAAUGACCAGCUCGCCCCCCGAGGAGCUCUCAAGUUUCUUCAUUUCAGCAGCCGCCUGGCUCUCCCCUGGUCAGCAGCCGGCCACGCAGGGAGAGGGGACAUCUGCCUGUCUGAGGAUAAGGGACAGGCUGGGCUCACCAUCCGUCUGUCAGGCCCUCAGACUGGACCCCGCACGUCGCCGCUCCGCUCCCUCCUUGUUAUUCUGCAGAGGACGCCGGGAUCUGAUAUGUGGCAUUGUCUGUGCCAUACUGGUCAGAAAGACAGGAGGGGACUGACGCAAAUGCAGUGAAGGAAUGAUCUGCAACAGAAACAUCCCUGCUAACAAAACCAAACCCUGUGUUUUGCAUUGUAACAGGAAAUGUAUUGUUUAUUCCAUUUGUGUGACAUGCAUACUAAAACUAGAAGCAAUCUAGCUACAAACCAAAGUCAUGAAUGGUAGAAAUUGUGAAGCAGUUGUACGCAACAUGAUUGUCUUUUCUUCACUGAAUAAACAUGUUUGUUAUUUA